UACGUAGGGGGCUAGCGUUGUCCGGAAUCACUGGGCGUAAAGCGAGCGCAGGCGGUUCCUUAAGUCUGAUGUGAAAGCCCCCGGCUCAACCGGGGAAGGUCAUUGGAAACUGGGGAACUUGAGUGCAGGAGAGGAAAGUGGAAUUCUCAGUGUAGCGGUGAAAUGCGUAGAUAUUGAGAAGAACACCAGUAGCGAAGGCGGCUUUCUGGACUGUAACUGACACUGAGGCACGAAAGCGUGGGUAGCAAACAGG
rnacentral:rRNA from 1 species